UCGAAAAAACAAAAAACAAAAAAAACAAACAAAAAAUUAAAAAUCUUAUCUUGAUACUAAAAAGAACUUCAAUUCAAAAAUUGUUUUUAUUACAAACUGUUAAAGAUGAUUAAGCCUUACGAUGUUUAAAACUAUACUUAAGUCAUUCUAAAGACUAAUGUAAUCAAGUACAGAAAAAAUUUAUCUAGCCUCUUAUAUAUUUUCAAGGUAUAGUCUAAACCAAAUAACUAAAAACAAACAGGAGUUGUUUAGCUCAAGUCCUCAAGCUGUCAGAUUUGAUGAAGAUGGCAUUUAAGAUAUGUAAACUUAUAUAACAGACAGAGACUCUCAGAUCCUAGCAGCGACUCCCAAGGUCCCCAAGAAGACAAUGGGCAUAGCAACAGGCAACUCCACCUGGACUACAGUAAUGCUAACCAGCUGACCACUGGGCAAGACUGCCCCAAUGCCUUGCCUUCUGCCAAGGCCCAGCCCAAACUGUGGGCAAUCAGGACACUGGAGAGUUGAUGCCCUGCUUUGCCUAGACAACAUGAGGCCAAUCUCCCCAUAUUCCUCAUCCCCAGGAAAGCCUCUCAUCCUCCAGACCUGGCAGCCAAGAUUGCUGUCCUGAUGACUCUGCCCUCAUCUCCACCGAGUCCACAGGAGCCUGGGAUAUCUUUCUAGUCUAUAUUUGUUUCAGCAGAUUUAAUAGACACCAUCCAGAGAGCACCUAUGAACUGCAAACUGCUGACCUCUGGACUUGCUGAAAGCUGAUGUGAACCAAUCUAGCUGAUGUGAUUGUUCCCCGUCCCUUCGCCAGGAACAGCUAACCAGAUGCUCCUUAUAAAUGUCCUAUUGCCCAGCCAUUGACUGCCUUUCAGCCCUCCUGGGUCCUGACAACCGACACCCCAAUUUCAGCUGGAAGCAGCUACAGAAGAGAGUACAUUGUCUCUAUCCUUAACAGGCUGAAAAUGAUAAGUCAAAGGCAAAUUCCCUUUGGGGGAAACCUGUUGCUUACAUGUCAUUCAUUCUAAAAUAGUCCAGCAAAAGUAAAACCUUGACUGUGCAGAAUGAAACUCAUUACACUGCCCCAUCUGGAUGAUGGGCCUGCAACACUGGUUUGACCCCAUACAUUCAUGGCCACAAAUAGGAUGCCACAAGGGAGGUCUGUUUUCUCCUUAUCUCUGUCUCUAAAUGAGCACCCUUCUUGGAACUUGUACAUCAAGACAUGACAAACUGAGAAGAGACUCCUGGACGCGUCAUGGUUGAGCCAACUGGACUGAGCCAUCUCCCUCCCACCCCAGUUUCUUUCCUAAGUCCUUUAAAAAGCCCUUAUAUUUGAAGGUCAAUGGUAUCCUAUUUCUGGGACUCACUCCUGCUCUACAGGAGCUCUGUCUUCCGCUCAAGCUCCCACAUAGGAAUCUAUAACAAACUUCUUUCUAAAUCCAUCCUUCUAUUGUCCAUGAAUUUCAUUCUUCAAAUUCAUCUUGUAAGAGCCCAGGGGCCAAUGACUCUGUGUAAAUUUUGUAUAACUUUGAGGUUCUGGCACCCUAACUCCUGAAUUAAAGCCCCCUCCACCAAAAGAAAGCUUCUGUUAAAGACACCUCACUUUCUCCGUAUUAUAAUCUUAGAAAAAAGAUUGAACACAGAUGAAAAUACUCAACUUCUUCAUCUAUUAAUGAGGAUAAAAAUGACCAGAGAGGCGCUGAGAGUUUAAAUGUUAGAUACUUAGAACUGCGCCUGGCACCCAGUGACUUCUCUGUAGCUAUUAAUGUGCGUGAGGACAUGUGGUGGUCUGAAUGAGAAUGCCCCCAUAGGCUCACUCAUAUGUCUGCACGCAUAGUCCCCAGCUGGAGAAAUGUUUGGGAAAGAUGAGAUGUGGCCCUGUUGGAAUAGGUGUGGGCUGUUGGAGGAGAUGUGUCAUUGGGUCUGAAUUUUGAGAUUUCAAAAGUCCAUGCCAGCCCCAGUCUCUCUCUCACUUCCUCCCUCCCUCCCACUCUCUCUACCUCACUCUCUCUGCCUGUUGCCUUCCGAUCAGGAUGUACAGCUCUCAGCUACUGCUCUAGCACCUCACCUGUCUGAUUCCUGCCAUGGACUAACCCUCUAAAACUGUAAACAAGCCCCAAUUAAAUGCUUUCUUUUAUAA